rnacentral:rRNA from 1 species
CCUACGGGAGGCAGCAGUGGGGAAUAUUGCACAAUGGGGGGAACCCUGAUGCAGCGACGCCGCGUGAGUGAAGAAGUAUUUCGGUAUGUAAAGCUCUAUCAGCAGGGAAGAAAAUGACGGUACCUGACUAAGAAGCCCCGGCUAACUACGUGCCAGCAGCCGCGGUAAUACGUAGGGGGCAAGCGUUAUCCGGAUUUACUGGGUGUAAAGGGGGCGCAGACGGCUGUGCAAGUCAGGGGUGAAGGCGGGGGGCCAACCCCCGGACUGCUCUGGAAACUGUAAAGCUGGAGUGCAGGAGAGGUAAGCGGAAUUCGUAGUGUAGCGGUGAAAUGCGUAGAUAUUAGGAGGAACACCAGUUGCGAAGGCGGCUUACUGGACUGCAACUGACGUUGAGGCUCGAAAGCGUGGGGAGCGAACAGGAUUAGAUACCCUUGUAGUC